rnacentral:ncRNA from 1 species
CCUGCCCUUGUACACACCGCCGUCGCUCUACCGAUUGAGUGAUCCGUGAGCUGUCCGGACUGCGAUUAGUUCAGUUCUGUCUCUUCGCGGGAAGUUCUGCAAACAUUAUCACUUAGAGGAAGGAGAAGUCGUAACAAGGUUUCCGUAGGUGAACAUGCGGAAGGAUCAUUC